rnacentral:rRNA from 1 species
GUUGCUGGCCCCUUGGGGGGUAUGUGCACACCUCUUGUUUGUUUCUUCCUUUUUCUCACCUGUGCACUGCAUGUAGACCUUAAGUGUCUAUGAUAUUUAUUACACACGUAUGUAUUGAAUGUUAUUGGCAAGGUCAAUUUGUACCUUAUAAUAUAUUACACAACUUUCAACAACGGAUCUCUUGGCUCUCGCAUCGAUGAAGAACGCAGCGAAAUGCGAUAAGUAAUGUGAAUUGCAGAAUUCAGUGAAUCAUCGAAUCUUUGAACGCAUCUUGCGCUCCUUGGUAUUCCGAGGAGCAUGCCUGUUUGAGUGUCAUUAAUCUCUCAAAAUACUUCAUUAUAGUGUUUUGGAUAUUGGGAAUUAUUGCUGGCCUUUUUGGUGUCAGCUUUCCUUAAAAAUAUUGAUUAAGCCCUCCUGCGCUUGUUGGUGUGAUAAAAUAUUAUCUAUGCCAAGGAAGCAAAAGAAAAGGCUUUUCAGCCGUGUUGACAAAUUGACCUCAAAUCAGGUAGGACUACCCGCUGAACUUAAGCAUAUC